UUAUAUUAUACUAUACUGUACUAUAUUGUACUGUACUGUGCUAUAUUGUACUGUGCUAUAUUGUACUGUACUAUAUUCUAUUGUACGUAAUUUGAAAAAAAAUUUGGUACGACCGAGGCGGUUGCAUGUCCAGUAGGUCGUAAUUCGAGGAGUAGCUGUAUAUUGUAGCCUUGAAGUGUACCAACUAUAUAGUCCUUGGUACCAGAAUUGUGCAUUUUAUGUACCAAGGCUAUAUAGUCUUGCAUGCCUAGAAGUGCUCAUUUUGUGUACCUACAGUAGACUGUAUAGCCUUGGUGCACUUUUACUAAUACUACUUUUUUUUCUUCAUCUUUCUAGUUUUUUGUUUCACUUCAGUUAAUUAAAUUAUUAUUAUUAAAGUAGUUUGAAGAAGAUUACAGGGGGCCCCCAAUUUACAAACAGGUUCCGUUCCUUGUGACAUUCUUUUUCGGAUUUGUACUUAAGUCGGAACACGCGCCAUGAGCAUACCAUACUUACAGAACAAUGUUUAAAAUCACACUAUAUCACAGCCUAAGUCCUUAUAUACAUCUAAAAUCAAUUAAUUUAAGACAAAAGAGAAAUAGAUUGACAAUACAGUAAAUGAAAGUAAAAAAUAUCAUUUGAUGAUAUAUUGUAAAUUUCAUGUUUAACACCGUUCAUAUCGAUUGGGACUCCCUGUACUUUCUACAAGUUUUAAUUUUUACAUAGUAACAGUGCAGUACUUUGUCUUAAGUAAUGUUUUCAUAUACUUUCUGCCCCACUGGCUAAAAUGGACCUGAAUUGAGCUGGACCUGCAGUGAACUAGACCUGAAGUGAACUGGACCGUAAUUACUAUCUGAGUGUGGUAUAAAAGAAUGGGGGAAGAGGAGAGCAAGGAGAACUGACAGCUGGAGGAACACCAAUUUCACCAGGAGUGUGGGCAGUCAUUACCAGUCCCAACAACACACCAUGCAGUCGCCACACUAGCCCACCAUACACAAAAGACUGCUACAAGCACCAAGGAACUGUAUGUAACUUCUUACCACCACACCACAACAGAUAUUGAUGGUGUCUAUGAGGAAGUGUGGACUGAUGGUGAUGUCUGUAGUGUUAUAGUGGUUGGCAGACAACAGUGAAGUAAUGGUGAUAUGUUGUCACUUAUAUUCAGUUGUGAACAUUAAUGAACCAAGUUAUAUUAUAUAAAUUGUUAUAUUAAAAUUAUAUGUAAA